rnacentral:rRNA from 1 species
CCCUUAGAUGUUCUGGGCUGCACGCGUGCUACAAUGGCGUUUCCAGCAAGUCUGCGAACCCGAGAGGGCCAGCGGAUCUUCGAAUUGGCGUCGUGAUCGGGACAGUCGAUUGCAAUUAUUUGACUCAAACGAGGAAUUCCUUGUAAUCGCGAUUCAUCAUAUCGCGCUGAAUACGUCCCUGCCCUUUGUACACACCGCCCGUCGCUCCUACCGAUUGAGCGAUCCGGUAAAUGUUUUGGAUUGGUGCCGGGGCGGCUAGCUGCCGGUCGCUACGAAAUUUUGUGAACCUUAUCGCUUAGAGGAAGGAGAAGUCGUAACA